rnacentral:rRNA from 1 species
CUUACCAUGCAAGUCGAACGGUGAACACGGUAGCUUGCUCUGUGGGAUCAGUGGCGAACGGGUGAGUAACACGUGAGCAACCUGCCCCUGACUCUGGGAUAAGCGCUGGAAACGGCGUCUAAUACUGGAUACGAGUAGCGGCCGCAUGGUCAGUUACUGGAAAGAUUUUUUGGUUGGGGAUGGGCUCGCGGCCUAUCAGCUUGUUGGUGAGGUAAUGGCUCACCAAGGCGUCGACGGGUAGCCGGCCUGAGAGGGUGACCGGCCACACUGGGACUGAGACACGGCCCAGACUCCUACGGGAGGCAGCAGUGGGGAAUAUUGCACAAUGGGCGGAAGCCUGAUGCAGCAACGCCGCGUGAGGGAUGACGGCCUUCGGGUUGUAAACCUCUUUUAGCAGGGAAGAAGCGAAAGUGACGGUACCUGCAGAAAAAGCGCCGGCUAACUACGUGCCAGCAGCCGCGGUAAUACGUAGGGCGCAAGCGUUAUCCGGAAUUAUUGGGCGUAAAGAGCUCGUAGGCGGUUUGUCGCGUCUGCUGUGAAAUCCCGAGGCUCAACCUCGGGCCUGCAGUGGGUACGGGCAGACUAGAGUGCGGUAGGGGAGAUUGGAAUUCCUGGUGUAGCGGUGGAAUGCGCAGAUAUCAGGAGGAACACCGAUGGCGAAGGCAGAUCUCUGGGCCGUAACUGACGCUGAGGAGCGAAAGGGUGGGGAGCAAACAGGCUUAGAUACCCUGGUAGUCCACCCCGUAAACGUUGGGAACUAGUUGUGGGGUCCAUUCCACGGAUUCCGUGACGCAGCUAACGCAU